CUGCUAGAGGACCAUCAACUGCUCGGAAGGCACAUGGAGAACUGUCCUGCCCGUGUCUGCUUUAAUGAUAAGGAACCAUUGGGAAGAAGAGCUGGGCCCCGAAGUGCCCAUCAGCAGCACCAGGACUGCCCGCUUUCAGCCAUGAGCCCAGCUGCAUCUGCCAGGCAUCAGGGACAGGUCCUCUCAUUCAUCCUGGAGAUGCCAAAGCUGCUGGAGGCCUGCAGCAUCUCCUCAUCCACUGGCUACAGUACAGCCCAGCUCAAGGAAAGCGCUGUGGUGGCAGCCAAUCAAGACGGAGGCCCUGUGCCAGCCACAUGUACAAUUGCAGCAUCUUCCUCUCCUAAUGGUAUGUGCGGUUGAAUGAAGGCUCUUGGGGAGUUUCUUUGACGUUGUUGGCUGUACACCAUCCACGGAGAGCUUCCCCUGUGGCUACACUGAGAGGAGGCAUGUAAGUAUAUUGGUGGCUGCUAUUGCAAGUGACGGUUACAGUCUUUGAAAAAUAUUUCCUGCAUCAGUAAAUUGAAUUAGAAGAUGUCGUUGGUUAGAAUGUGCAUUCCGUCUCCACAUCUGCAAAUAAUGGCUGCAGCGAGCACACUGGUUUUAUGGCUGUUUAGAUUUUUGAAAUUAGUCGUAUGUUUUAAAUGCAAUGCACUCUGGGAGAUCUUGCACUGGCUGGAGAAAAAAUAAUUAACUUUAAAAAAUGGGACACAUGCCAUACUGGAAAGCAUGCUUGUCCUCACUCUGAACAUACCCUACGUAACCCAAAGUGGUCAUUUCCAGCAUAUAAAACUCUCCAAAUUCUUAGUCAAUUGUGUCAACACAAUGCUGCUUUCUCACAUUAAGCUGUUUUAGGGGCAACCCAAAACUCAUGUACUUCAGAGAGGAUAUGUGGAAGCUGUCAGUGUCUGUAACCAAGAUAAUUUCUGCUUCCCAGACCAAUACGGGGCCCAGAACUUUGACCAACACUUUUCUGAAUGCCAAAAUGCAACUCUCAGCUUAAAAAGUGUACAUGCGGAUAAGCCUCUUAGGGAAAACUGAAUGCCAAAAUGCAUAGCUAACUGGCACUUACUACAGAAAUGAGCACAUUGAGGAAAAUUGCAUAAAAUGCAUGUAUAUUGGGAAAUGGCUUCUGAAAAUAAAUGCAAAUUUUAAUAUUGGGAACUGAUACUGAAUUUGAAUGCAAUGGUCUUUUGACUGAAUGCAUGCAAUACCGACAAAAAGAGGACAUAGACUGAUUUCUUUGUGCCUACAUGAGAGUGAGUGCAUCAACACUGAGACCAACUUCCAAAAAAAAAAAAAAAAAAAUCAUCUAAUUACGCUGUUAAUCUAAUACUGAUGAACAAAGCCUGGGGAACUUUAUUGUUCUGGCAAAGUUUUCACGGUUUGCCUCAGAAUGCCUACAGGUGCUUACGCCUUAGCAGGCCUUUCUACAUUUUGCUCAAACAUCAUUUGUAUGUUUCCUCCCCUCUUUCAUUCAUCUUAAACACAAUUCAGUGGGAAAAUUGCAGUGUGUGAUCUUGUGUAACAGCACAGCAAUUCCAGUGGGGCUUGUAGCACAGGUAUUUCAAUAGUCUGCAACUAUUGUAAGGACAAUGAACAGACCAGUUCAGCGUGGAGUGUGCAGGAUUAGCUUCCAAGACCGUUCUACUAGCAUGUUCCCCUCUGUGAAAACGGAGGCCCAUCUAUCUCCAAGCUUUGCUACACUGGCUACCACUGGCUUCAUUCAGCUGGUUAGAGAUGCGGAGAAAGUGCUUCAGUAGCAUUUAUGGCAAGCUCAGCUAAUCUACACUUUCUGAACCAAUACACACUGUUGAACUUAGAAAGGGCAUAAAUGACUCGGUUGCCAGCUGUAAUGCAGGACAAAUACUAUUUCAUCUGUCCUUCUCGUCAGGGCAGUGAGCACCACAUGGGAUAUGUGAGGUUAUCUUUUGGUUUUCCAUUUUUCGUUUAUCUUUUACUUUUUCCAAACUGGAGAGAUUUUAAAAAAAUGCCAUUAAUUGGAACUUAGUCGAAGUUUUUGCAUUGAAAUGUAUUACAUUUAACAUGCAAAUAACUGUGAUUUAAGUGUUACUUGAAUAACUGAUGAUGUCUAUGUGCUAAUCAUUAAAAUUGAUUAGCUGAAACAAGUUAUCAAUCAACAUGCUGAAACAAGUUAUCAAAGCUUUGAUCUGACUAGAUCAAGUAUGGCUGACUACAAGUUGACAGAGGAUGCAGAUAUAAAUUGGUAGUGGAAUUGGUUGUUUUAGAUGCAGAUAGCAGAAAAGCUGUUGCCAUUGUUUCUCCCAAUGCUGAAAAGUCCUUUGAUUGAAUGUAUGAGAAAUUUAUUUUUUGCAAUGUUGAGAAGCCGUACUUUUUCAGUGGCAUUCUUGAAAUGGGUUCAAAUUCUGUAUUCCACUGUAAAAUAUAGAGUUAUAAUGAAUAGGUUUCUCUCUGAUUUUUUUCUUACUGAGGCAAGGUACUAGACUAGGAAGCUCACUUUUUCCUGUGAUAUGUAUGCGCAAAACAUUUGGCCUGUUCCGUAAGAGAAAAUAGCAGUAUUUGUGACUUUUGGUAUAAUUGUCUAGAAUUUUAAAAAAUAUAUCUUUACACUAAUGAUCCUUCACUGCUUAGUUGCAAAUUUCAGCUGUCAGUUCCAGCUUUGAUAGAGUUGAUCAUAACUUUUGGUCUUUUAUCAAGCUAUACAAUUACCUUGUCAAAAUCCAAGUUGUUGCCUAUUGGAGACACAAUUCCCCACAAUAUAUUGGUAAUCUGCCAGUUCUGAUGUUGCCUAGACUAUAUCACCUAGCUGGGGAUUCUUAUUCCCAAAGAUAUACCUCCAAUGAUUACGUGAAGCUUUGACAAACAGGUUGCUGAGAUGGCAUGAGUUACACAUAGAUGGCCAUCCUCAAAUCUGAGUCUAUGAUGGAAAGUAAACACUUAAGGUGAACAUCAUACCCUGAAUUAUGUACAUUUUAUGUGAGAUUCCUCUCUUUAUACCUCGUCAAUAUUUUCAAAAACUGAAUAGCUUGUUUCAUAAAUGUUAUAGCCUUUAUUCCACCAUGAAUAUCUUUGAAAAAUGCAGUUGUCAAAAGAGACUAGUUUUGCUUUCAUUGAUCUUGCUUUAUAUUGCUGGCCUUUUUUUUUUCUUGGAAUCGCCAUGUCUGGACCCUCUCUCCUAAUGGAUUGAACUUGGUCCUCACUAUAUAAAACAGAGAGGAUGCCUCCUGCAGUUGCAACAGUAAGAGAGGUGGGGCAUUCAGUGGCAUGCCAACUGUAGUUCAAUCCAUUUUCUCAUACCAGAUUCAACCGAAGAGAAAACCCAAAUGUAGACCCAAAUGUUUAAGCACAUUUUUACACUAGAUCAAUUAGUAGAAGUAGAAGAAGAAGGUGAUUAUGUUAAUACUAGUUCCCCUCUACUUAACAGUACUCAUCAGAAGUACUGUGUCCUGUUCUGGGUUCCACAGUUUAAGAAAGAAGACCAGAGGGAAAGAGUUCAAAGGAGGGCAACAAGGAUGAUCGGGGGCCUGCAAACAAAGCCCGUUGAGGAGAGAUUGAAAGAAUUAGGCAUUGAAAGAGAUAGGAGCUGGAAUUGAAAGAGAUAUGAUAGCAACCCACAAGUAUGUGAAAUGUCACACAGGAGGCCAGGAUAUCUUCUCCAUCAUUUCAGAGUGCAAGACAGUGGAAUAAUGGACUCAGGUGACAAGAAACCAGAUUCAGACUGGAUAACAGGAAGAACUUCCUGAGUGUUAGAGCAAGUAGGAAAUGGAACCAAAGACCGAGGGAGGCGAUGGGCUCUCCCACACUGAAGGCAUUCAAGAUGCAACUGGACAGCCAUCUGAGAGGGAUGAUUUAACUGGUAAUCCUGCACUGGGUUGGGGGUUGGACCUGAUGGCCUUCUUGGCUCCUUCCAGCUCUACCGUUCUAGGAUAACUUUUUCUCAUUUUCCACUCUUGUUGCCAAAUAUGGUUUGCCUGUAACUCUGAACCACAUUAUAUUCAGUUGAAGCAUUUGUUAGAAUCAUAUUUCAGCCCUGCAGCUUGCGCACAUGGUGGGCAUGUCGUGAGCCGAAGCCUACUGGAGCCGGGGUCAGACUAGAUGGCCCAGGAGACCCCCCCUCUGACUGUUUCAGAGAGACACAGCUCUGUUUCUGUGUUUCUUUGCUGCUGCAAAGCCUCCUCCACUUUCAGCUGGUCAGACGUAUCAGCCCACAUGAUGGCUGAAUAAAUGUUUACUAUCACUAAACAAAUGCGACAAAUAUGACAUAUUGGAUCAUUAGCAAGAAUCAAAUAAUGAAUUAAGUUGCCCUAUUUUGACUGAUGAAUGGAAUGUUGCAUUAGCACCCAUUUUUGAAGUGUCAGUGGAGCAUAGGUUACCAUCUUACUUAGCAAAUAUCUUGUUCCAUGUUUACUGGAUGGCUCAACAUCUUUUCAGUAGAGACCUUGCUAAAUUGGAUAAAUGCUGAAGGUUUGACAUAGCAAAUGCUUCCUUCACCUAGGUGUUUGCUUAACAACUGCCUGCUUUUGGGAUGAGGUUUACUACAGAUGGAUUUUAUAAUAGGACCCUUUAAUUUUAGGAAUGUACAUGUCCUAGUUAAGUAUUUACCCACAUCUAAAUCAAUGGAAGAUCAAUGUGAAUAGAUUUUCCAUGCUCUAAUGAAAGUUAAACACUGGAAGGAUAAAUGGCCAUCCUGAGUAAUGCAAUGGAGUGAAUAUCUAUUGCUCCUUUCAGUUUUUGAAUGGAUGACACCAGUGCAGGAAUAGAUACCUGGGUACACAGCCUGCCUUUGUUGAAAUACUGUAUAUGCCUAACUACUUCUGGUAAGAGCAGAAUAUGUCCUUAUAUGCAUGGGAUACAGAAUUGUAGGCACUCCAUAUGUAUACUUAGCAACUGAUGCAUUGAACCUUUUUUUUUUUUUUUUACCUUUGGGUUUCUUAUAACUUUUUGAAAAUUCAGAGUAAACAUUAUUUUUUAAAAAGAUCUUUCAGUUUUCACUUCCCCAAAUUUUGUACUUUACUUCUCUGAUUUAAAAAUGCACAUGAAAAUGUCUGUCUUGGUUUGUCUGUGUUCUUGUGGAAAAAUUUAAGUUCUGCACACUGUGAAACUGACAGAAAUGGAAACAUACAGCUUCAGCCAUCCACAACCUUCCCUUCCUCAGUCCCAGCACAAUGGACUCAUUCUGCCAAAUGUGGCUGUUUGUGGCACAUGUUACACUGAGCAGGGAAGCUCCAAUCGGUGAGUGUCACCCCGCUUCUCAUUUUCCUAGCGCUAAGCUCAUUUUGGCUGUGUUCUGUAUCAGGAGAAAAGGUAGUGCAAAACAGGCAUUGCUGUACACUUUCUCUAGCAUGUAUAAUUUUUGCAAGUAAUUCUUUCCUGAUAUAAUGCAUUUGGCACACAUGAUCCUGUAACAGAUAUUUUGUUUGCAUGUUGCAUUACUGUAUGAAAGUUUUGUGGUCCAAAGGGGAGAUUUCAGUAUAUGUUGGUAAGUCCAUAUAUAUGGGUAGAAAUAUAUUUGAAGAGUGAGGUAGAUGAAACCAGAUUUAUUUAUUUACUUAUUUACUUAAAGUUUUUCUAUGCUGUCCCAUUACUAAAAGUCUCUGUAUGGCCUACAAAGGACAAAAACCCAAAAAACUAAGAACAAAAAACCUCAACACCACCAACACCAAUAUUCUGCUCUUCAAGAAUUAAUGUGCACCUAUAACUGUAGUGUAAAAGUGUCUCUCUCACACACACAAACACACACACACACACACACACACA